UGGGGGAUAUUGCACAAUGGGCGAAAGCCUGAUGCAGCGACGCCGCGUGGGGGAUGAAGGCCUUCGGGUUGUAAACUUCUUUUGCUCUGAACAAGGCGCACCAUGGGGUGUGUUGAGUGUAGGGGUUGAUUAGCGCCGGCUAACUACGUGCCAGCAGCCGCGGUAAUACGUAGGGCGCGAGCGUUGUCCGGAAUUAUUGGGCGUAAAGGGCUUGUAGGUGGCUGGUUGCGUCUGUCGUGAAAGCUCAUGGCUUAACUGUGGGUUUGCGGUGGGUACGGGCUGGCUUGAGUGCAGUAGGGGAGGCUGGAAUUCCUGGUGUAGCGGUGGAAUGCGCAGAUAUCACGAGGAAUACCGGUGGCGAAGGCGGGUCUCUGGGCUGUUACUGACACUGAGGAGCGAAAGCAUGGGGAGCGAACAGG
rnacentral:rRNA from 1 species